GGGCCCCUCGCCCAAAAACUCACACAAAAGCUGCUUUGGAGAGGGAUGAUGUCUGGAGAGAAAGACAGAGGGUUGGAGAAAUCUUUUUGUUUCUUGAGGAGAUGGGAUUGUGUUACUCACCUCUGCAUUGAUAGAUCAGGUGUGUGUGCCUGGAGCUUCAGGUCAAAGAAUCCAGAAGCAAAGGUUUGAGUGGUCGGGUGGCUCAGAACAGGAUGCCACAGAAGGGAGAAACUUCAGCCCAACCAUGAGGGAUGAGAAGACAGGCUGUCCUGA